rnacentral:rRNA from 1 species
AGAGUUUGAUCCUGGCUCAGGACGAACGCUGGCGGCGUGCUUAACACAUGCAAGUCGAACGAGAAUCUGCGGAAAGAGGAUUCGUCCAAUUGAAGCAGAGGACAGUGGCGGACGGGUGAGUAACGCGUGAGGAACCUGCCUUUCAGAGGGGGACAACAGUUGGAAACGACUGCUAAUACCGCAUGACACAUUGAGGUCGCAUGGCCUUAAUGUCAAAGAUUUAUCGCUGAAAGAUGGCCUCGCGUCUGAUUAGCUAGUUGGUGGGGUAACGGCCCACCAAGGCUACGAUCAGUAGGGGUUCUGAGAGGAAGGUCCCCCACGUUGGAACUGAGACACGGUCCAAACUCCUACGGGAGGCAGCAGUGAGGAAUAUUGGUCAAUGGACGGGAGUCUGAACCAGCCAAGUAGCGUGCAGGACGACGGCCCUAUGGGUUGUAAACUGCUUUUAUAGGGGGAUAAAGUGUGCCACGUGUGGCAUAUUGCAGGUACCCUAUGAAUAAGGACCGGCUAAUUCCGUGCCAGCAGCCGCGGUAAUACGGAAGGUCCGGGCGUUAUCCGGAUUUAUUGGGUUUAAAGGGAGCGUAGGCCGUCUUAUAAGCGUGUUGUGAAAUGUCGGGGCUCAACCUGGGCAUUGCAGCGCGAACUGUGAGACUUGAGUGCGCAGGAAGUAGGCGGAAUUCGUCGUGUAGCGGUGAAAUACUUAGAUAUGACGAAGAACUCCGAUUGCGAAGGCAGCCUGCUGUAGCGCAACUGACGCUGAAGCUCGAAAGCGUGGGUAUCGAACAGGAUUAGAUACCCUGGUAGUCCACGCGGUAAACGAUGGAUGCUCGCUGUUUGCGUCUGACGUAAGCGGCCAAGCGAAAGCGUUAAGCAUCCCACCUGGGGAGUACGCCGGCAACGGUGAAACUCAAAGGAAUUGACGGGGGCCCGCACAAGCGGAGGAACAUGUGGUUUAAUUCGAUGAUACGCGAGGAACCUUACCCGGGCUUGAACUGUAGGCGAACGAUUCAGAGAUGAAGAGGCCCUUCGGGGCGCCUAUGGAGGUGCUGCAUGGUUGUCGUCAGCUCGUGCCGUGAGGUGUCGGCUUAAGUGCCAUAACGAGCGCAACCCUUGUUCGUAGUUGCCAUCGGUUAAAGCCGGGCACUCUGCGAAGACUGCCUCCGUAAGGAGUGAGGAAGGUGGGGAUGACGUCAAAUCAGCACGGCCCUUACGUCCGGGGCUACACACGUGUUACAAUGGCAUGUACAGAAAGCUGGGUGUAUGCAAAUACGCUCGAAUCCCU